GCCGGCAUACGCAAACCGGGAGGACUUGGGGGCUGUCAAGGGAGCAGCUGAACAAGAGCCACCGGCUCUGCUCGGAGCACUUAACCGACGAAGCCUACGCUGAACCCUUAAAAAUAAAGCUCUUGGGAGAGGCAUUCCCGUGCAUAAAGGUUACCGACGAUAGGUUCCGUUUCCUGACGAGUGAAGAGGCCUUGGGAGCAGACGACAAUGACUCUGGGGACCUCGGAGGAUGUGCUCAAGAGGAAAGAUCUGCUGGCACCAUUAACUUUGGCACUGAUGACCCUUUGGAGGCUACGAGAGGUACAAAGGGUCAAAACCAGCCUGAAGGCGCCGGUGACACCCCUGCCCUUUCCAGGAAGCCUACAACCAGCUUCCCACAAGGUGGAGAGCAGACCACUGGCUCUCCUUCAACGCCUCGGCCUGGACCU